GCAACAGAAAUAAGGAAAGAAAUUACUUGAAUUCAAUCCCAAGGUGCUUUGUGAAAUUGCAUUGACUUGUAAUAAAUGUCCAGUAAAGAGCAGGUAGCACCUACAAGGGGGAAGUGUUUGUGCACCUGUCUGAAGAGAGACUUAACACACCCUAAUCCUCCAUGGGCUUCUUCUCAGCUCAGCAUACGAACAUCAUUGAGUCUCACCUUAAGGGUGUCUGCUGCACCUAGUCACAACAAGUCCAGAACUCAGGCAGCCACAGAAAAGCGCAGGCCUCCUGCUGCAGAAUCCAGAAGAAAAUCCAUUGGCAGCAGCAUGAUGGCCCCACAGUCCCCAGCAGGAAAGCUGCCAGCUCCACAAACUGCUACAUCCCAUUGCAAUUAAAGACUUCAGGGGGAGAGGCUUACACGCCCACACAGAGAACUGCCUGCUUUCCUUAGCUUGUCUGAUAGGCCACUCUAGAUGUCUAACGCGUAGACAGCAACAGGUUGUCCUUCACAUAAGGUUCUGCA